ensembl:snRNA U2 U2 spliceosomal RNA
AUCGCUUCUCGGCCUUUUGGCUAAGAUCAAGUGUAGUAUCUGUUCUUAUCAGUUUAAUGUCUCUUUUUUUUUUGGGGGGGGUUUGGGUCACACCUGGUGAUGCACAGGGGUUACUCCUGGCUCUGCACUCAGGAAUUACUCCUGGCGGUGCUCGGGGGACCAUAU